rnacentral:tRNA from 1 species
GUGGGUAUAGCUCAGCGGUAGAGCUCCUGCCUAGCAUGCAUGAGGCCCUGGGUUCAAUCCCCAUUACCGCUG